CUUCAGUCGAAGGCUGAAAACAAUCGAUUAAGAAUUGGGUGAAGUACCUUUCUGUGAUACUAACCCUAACCCAUAAUUUCAUUAAUAAUCCUUAUCUGCUUCAUUUGACUCCAUUCAUUCAAUUUCUUAAGAUUUUAAAGCACUACUACCAGAUUACCGCGAAGCGACUUCUCCCCUUGAUUUUGCUGUUGGCCACAACGUCAUCGCUGCCAGUAGAUUAUUUUGGCCUUAGCAAAUUGUACGGCGAUGAGCGAGGAAGCAGCUCCAAGUGGCUGUAACAAAUUUCAGGUGCCCAGGGGGACGUCGAAUGGCACGUGCCGAAUGAAACACAUCGGAAGACGCGGGCUCUUCUGUGGCAUCUCGGGGGGUGACUUUCCCGACCGGUGAAGGAUGUGGCUGCCAAUCCUGCCAGCUGCAAGCAUUAAUCCCCUUCGGCUUUUUUUUUUCUUUAUCGCAGCGAGUCCUUGGCGGAAUGCAACGAACCCUCAUGAAAAGCUCUCGCAAUGGGCGAAUGUCGCGCGUUAAAAGCGCAAUUAGUAUUAUCCUGGGAGUGUGCUUAGCAGGAGCAACAUGCGGACGAGCUGGGACAGCUAAGUCAGCUGAGCGGGCUCAGCUUUUGACCCAAUUUCGGACGUCAUAAGUCCAGCGACGGACACUACAAAGAAGAGACUAAGGAGGCUUUACACUGAGAAAUAAUAAAGAAAAAGGCCGAAGAUGACAGCAAAGACUUUUCACUUUUCCCUGACACUCGCCGACUGCUGGCGGCACAUUAAAAUUCAAUUAAAGUCGGCGGCGGCUGGCCAAAGGACAUGGACAGAAGGCGAGUGUGCCGUCAUAAAUUCCACGGCGAUAACGCGGCGUAUGCGCAAUGUCAUGCAAUUUGUUUUGAGUUACUAGUUGCAAGAUAGCAUCAUCGCAUCCACCGCUGCCCUCGCUUGCUGCCACUGAUAAUUCAGUGAUGGCGAUGUACCACCCACCAGCCAUUGGCCGACCCCUUCCACCCAACCACCACCCACUCUCAAAGACAUUGUUGACCUAUAUUUGGGCAUCAAUGAAACGCGAACGAAGCGAACGGGGGAAACAACAAAGGCAGCGCAUUUUCAAUGCUAUUGAGUAAGUUGAGUAAAAGCUCCCAGUAGCCGCUUAGCUGGAGAAAAGCUAUCGCCAUCACUCUUUUCCCUCGGUGCUCAGGCGAAGCUUUGGGACUGGAAGAGAAAGCUGCUAUCCUCUCUCAAUCUAAAAAAACAAUUUAUUCGAAUAGAUAACGUUAUACCGUGAUGGCGGAAACUUAAAAUUCGUGGGAGCAAAACAAACUUUUAACAUAGAAUU